rnacentral:rRNA from 1 species
AGAAACCAACAGGGAUUGCCUCAGUAACGGCGAUUGAAGCGGCAAAAGCUCAAAUUUGAAAAUAGCACCUAACGGUGUUUCGAGUCUGUAAUUAUGAAGAUGGUAACCUUGGGUCUUGGCUCUUGUCUAUGUUCCUUGGAACAGGACGUCAUAGAGGGUGAGAAUCCCGUCUGAUGAGAUGCCCAUUCCUAUGUAAGGUGCUAUCGAAGAGUCGAGUUGUUUGGGAAUGCAGCUCUAAGUGGGUGGUAAAUUCCAUCUAAAGCUAAAUAUUGGCGAGAGACCGAUAGCGAACAAGUACAGUGAUGGAAAGAUGAAAAGAACUUUGAAAAGAGAGUGAAAAAGUACGUGAAAUUGUUGAAAGGGAAGGGCAUUAGAUCAGACUUGGUGUUUUACGAUUAUCUUCUCUUCUUGAGUUGUGCACUCGUAUUUCACUGGGCCAGCAUCGAUUCGGAUGGCAAGAUAAUGGCAGUUGAAUGUGGCUUCACUUCGGUGGAGUGUUAUAGCUUCUGCUGAUAUUGCCUGUCUGGAUCGAGGGCUGCGUCUUUUGACUAGGAUGCUGGCGUAAUG